GAGGCAGCAGUGAGGAAUAUUGGUCAAUGGACGCGAGUCUGAACCAGCCAAGUAGCGUGAAGGAUGACUGCCUAUGGGUUGUAAACUUCUUUUAUAUGGGAAUAAGUUUUCCACGUGUGGAAUUUUGUAUGUACCAUAUGAAUAAGGAUCGGCUAACUCCGUGCCAGCAGCCGCGGUAAUACGGAGGAUCCGAGCGUUAUCCGGAUUUAUUGGGUUUAAAGGGAGCGUAGGUGGACAGUUAAGUCAGUUGUGAAAGUUUGCGGCUCAACCGUAAAAUUGCAGUUGAUACUGGCUGUCUUGAGUACAGUAGAGGUGGGCGGAAUUCGUGGUGUAGCGGUGAAAUGCUUAGAUAUCACGAAGAACUCCGAUUGCGAAGGCAGCUCACUGGACUGCAACUGACACUGAUGCUCGAAA
rnacentral:rRNA from 1 species